rnacentral:rRNA from 1 species
GACGAACGCUGGCGGCGUGCUUAACACAUGCAAGUCGAACGGAAAGGCCCUGCUUUUGCGGGGUGCUCGAGUGGCGAACGGGUGAGUAACACGUGAGUAACCUGCCCUUGACUUUGGGAUAACUUCAGGAAACUGGGGCUAAUACCGGAUAGGAGCUCCUGCUGCAUGGUGGGGGUUGGAAAGUUUCGGCGGUUGGGGAUGGACUCGCGGCUUAUCAGCUUGUUGGUGGGGUAGUGGCUUACCAAGGCUUUGACGGGUAGCCGGCCUGAGAGGGUGACCGGCCACAUUGGGACUGAGAUACGGCCCAGACUCCUACGGGAGGCAGCAGUGGGGAAUAUUGCACAAUGGGCGGAAGCCUGAUGCAGCAACGCCGCGUGCGGGAUGACGGCCUUCGGGUUGUAAACCGCUUUCGCCUGUGACGAAGCGUGAGUGACGGUAAUGGGUAAAGAAGCACCGGCUAACUACGUGCCAGCAGCCGCGGUGAUACGUAGGGUGCGAGCGUUGUCCGGAUUUAUUGGGCGUAAAGGGCUCGUAGGUGGUUGAUCGCGUCGGAAGUGUAAUCUUGGGGCUUAACCCUGAGCGUGCUUUCGAUACGGGUUGACUUGAGGAAGGUAGGGGAGAAUGGGAUUCCUGGUGGAGCGGUGGAAUGCGCAGAUAUCAGGAGGAACACCAGUGGCGAAGGCGGUUCUCUGGGCCUUUCCUGACGCUGAGGAGCGAAAGCGUGGGGAGCGAACAGGCUUAGAUACCCUGGUAGUCCACGCUGUAAACGGUGGGUACUAGGUGUGGGGUCCAUUCCACGGGUUCCGUGCCGUAGCUAACGCUUUAAGUACCCCGCCUGGGGAGUACGGCCGCAAGGCUAAAACUCAAAGGAAUUGACGGGGCCCCGCACAAGCGGCGGAGCAUGCGGAUUAAUUCGAUGCAACGCGUAGAACCUUACCUGGGUUUGACAUGGAUCGGGAGUGCUCAGAGAUGGGUGUGCCUCUUUUGGGGUCGGUUCACAGGUGGUGCAUGGCUGUCGUCAGCUCGUGUCGUGAGAUGUUGGGUUAAGUCCCGCAACGAGCGCAACCCUUGUUCACUGUUGCCAGCACGUUAUGGUGGGGACUCAGUGGAGACCGCCGGGGUCAACUCGGAGGAAGGUGGGGAUGACGUCAAGUCAUCAUGCCCCUUAUGUCCAGGGCUUCACGCAUGCUACAAUGGCUGGUACAGAGAGUGGCGAGCCUGUGAGGGUGAGCGAAUCUCGGAAAGCCGGUCUCAGUUCGGAUUGGGGUCUGCAACUCGACCUCAUGAAGUCGGAGUCGCUAGUAAUCGCAGAUCAGCAACGCUGCGGUGAAUACGUUCCCGGG